CAACCUUUUAAGGAUAUCAUUAACAACACAUCCCUUGCGGAAUUGGAAAAGCGGUUAAAAGAGACACCUUUCAACCCUCCUAAAGUUGAAAGUGCCGAAGGUUUUCCAAGUUAUGACACAGCCUCUGAACAACUCCACGAGGCAGGCUACGAUGCCUACAUCACAGGGCUGUGCUUCAUCUCCAUGGCCAAUUACCUAGGUUCUUUUCUCAGCCCUCCAAAAAUUCAUGUGUCUGCCAGAUCAAAACUCAUUGAACCUUUUUUUAACAAGCUGGAGUGCAAUGGCGUGAUCUCGGCUCACCGCAACCUCUGCCUCUCGGGUUCAAGUGAUUCUCCUGUCUCAGCCUCCCAAGUAGCUGGGAUUACAGAGUCUCGCUCUGUUGCCAGGCUGGAGUCCAAUGGCGCAAUCUCGACUCACUGCAACUUCUGCCUCCUGGGUUCAAGUGAUUCUCCUGUCUCGGCCUCCCAAGUAGCUGGGAUUACAGGUUAUUUCUUAUGAGGGUCAUGGA
rnacentral:misc_RNA from 1 species